AUGCAGUUACUUCGAAGACUGCGGCUCUGGGGGCUCGGCGCCUCCGCAGGCCUGAUCGCCUCGGCCCGAGCCCCGGGCGCCAGCCGCUACCACCGCCCCCCGCCCCGCCCCCGCGCGCCGCCCGCCAGUCCUCCGCCCCGCCUCCGCCCCCGCGUCGUGCUUAGCCCGGAGUCGCAGCGCCCGGCCGUCGUCGCCUGCAGAGGCCCGUCGCCCGCCACCGCUGCCUGCAUGGAGCUCCCCGGAGCUGGGCUGAAUUCCAAUGAAUGUGAAAGUGUAUCAAGCAAAGAAAAAAUGUCAGAAGAAUUUGAAGCCAACACCAUGGAUUUUCUGGUAGAUUUGCCAUUUGCUACCAUAGAUAUUAAAGAAGAUAGUGAAAUCACUGAUGUUCCCAAAGUAAAUUUGGAGAGAAGUAAAGAAAAUGAAUGCAACAAUAAAGAGCAAAUAAAGAAGAGGAAAAAAAAGCGAAAAGAUUAUCAACCCAACUAUUUCCUAUCCAUUCCAAUCACCAACAAAGAGAUUACAAAAGGAAUUAAGAUCAUGCAAAAUGCAAUAAUACAACAAGAUGAGCAACUGGCCAAAGCAAUGAGCAGUGAUGGUUCCUUUCAUAUUACCUUACUAGUGAUGCAGUUAUUGAAUGAAGAUGACGUAAACAUUGGUGUUGAUGCUCUUUUGGAAUUAAAACCAUUUGUAGAAGAAAUCCUCCAAGGAAAACCUUUGACUUUGCCCUUUGAAGGGGUUGACACUUUCGGAAAUCAGGUUGGAUUUGUGAAGCUGGCAGAAGGAGGUCACAUAAACUCACUUUUGGAGAUAGCAGAUGCUGCAAAAAGGACAUUUCAAGAAAAAGGUAUCUUGGCAGGAGAAAGCAGAACUUUUAAGCCUCAUUUGACCUUCAUGAAAUUGUCCAGGUCACCAUGGCUCUGGAAGAAGGGAGUGAAAAAAAUAGACCCCAAAUUGUACGAAAAAUUUAUCGGCCAUAGAUUUGGAGAAGAAGUGGUACAUUGUAUAGAUCUUUGCUCCAUGCUGAAGAAAAAGCAAAGUAAUGGCUAUUAUCACUGUGAGUCUUCAAUUGUAAUUGGCGAGUUGGAAAGCCCGUCCUCUAUAGCCCUGCAGAGAUACAGAAGGGAGGGACCCAGCUGGCCAAGUGGUAAGAGUCAAAUGGUCCCUUUCCCCUCCUGCUGA
rnacentral:lncRNA from 1 species